AGUAAUGUAUGGGGAUCUGCCUGAUGGCGGGGGAUAACUACUGGAAACGGUAGCUAAUACCGCAUAACGUCGCAAGACCAAAGAGGGGGACCUUAGGGCCUCUUGCCAUCGGAUGUGCCCAGAUGGGAUUAGCUAGUAGGUGGGGUAAUGGCUCACCUAGGCGACGAUCCCUAGCUGGUCUGAGAGGAUGAUCAGCCACACUGGGACUGAGACACGGUCCAG
rnacentral:rRNA from 1 species